rnacentral:rRNA from 1 species
ACGAAGGGGGCUAGCGUUGCUCGGAAUUACUGGGCGUAAAGCGCACGCAGGUGGCUGAGUCAGUCGAUUGUGAAAGCCCUGGGCUUAACCUGGGAAUUGCAGUCGAUACUACUCAGCUAGAGUAUGGGAGAGGGUAGUGGAAUUCCCGGUGUAGCGGUGAAAUGCGCAGAUAUCGGGAGGAACACCAAUUGCGAAGGCAGCUCGCUGGGACGUUACUGACGCUGAGACGCGAAAGCGUGGGGAGCAAACAGGA